GUUGCAUGGAAAAACUGUUGGCCAUUGUUGACCUAGCCUACAUACCCCACCAGGUCCAACCCACAUUACACCCAUCUAGGUAUGGAUAGCCAUUCUCAACUCACUAGCAGGUUGGGUCAGGCUCCACUUGAGACCUCUCAACUAAUCGAGUCAGGUAAGAUAAAUGGCAUCAUUAUAUAUAGAUGUAUAUAUAAUUACAUGAAUACAAUAUGCAUUCACAUGCGCGUGCAUGUUUGUGUAUAUAGUUAGAAAGAGAGAGAUAUUGGCCAUUGUUGACCUAGACGACAGUCGGUCAAUUAGGGUCUUUCAGUGAAUGCCGAGGC
rnacentral:lncRNA from 1 species